rnacentral:rRNA from 1 species
UACGGAGGGGUUAGCGUUGUUCGGAAUUACUGGCGUAAAGCGCACGUAGGCGGAUUGGAAAGUUGGGGGUGAAAUCCCAGGGCUCAACCCCUGGAACGGCCUCCAAAACUCCCAGUCUGGAGUUCGAGAGAGGUGAGUGGAAUUCCGAGUGUAGAGGUGAAAUUCGUAGAUAUUCGGAGGAACACCAGUGGCGAAAGGCGGCUCACUGGCUCGAUACUGACGCUGAGGCGCGAAAGUGUGGGGAGCAAACAGGAUUAGAUACCCCCGUAGU